ensembl:lncRNA
AGACGAGGCUGGGAGUUAAUUAACGUGGUGUCGGAGAAACAGGCAUAAUAGUACACCACUGUAAAAAAGACUUGACAUUGAGAUGGACGGAUAAGUCAUUAAUUGGUUUUCUUAUUGGUACAAUGGGCUGCAUGCGGCAGAAGAGAAGAGAGGAAGGUCAAGGCUUUGACUUUGACAGGGACCACAACUAUAUUAUGCGUCCUAGCAGCCAGGAUUGGGUUGGCUUGUGUGUGUGGAGGAACAUGAAAAGUUAAUGGCAGAUUAGGCUGUGAAACAAAGUAAUUACACCGAAAGAGGUGUAGGUGAUGACAGACACAGAUAAUGCUUCAUGGCAGUAAUGAUAAGGAGCCUCCACUCGUAUCCCAUCAGAAAAAACCCCCACAGCAAACCCAAAUGACUGCAGUCUUAUCAGCGAUCUCACAAUUAAUGCGACUCCAUUUUGAAGUAAUGCGUGCCUUUUCAUCCACAAAUGGAUUAGAGAUUUCAAGCCUCUUAAUAUUGAUUUAUUUGUAUACUUUGUCCUCAGAAGGAUAUUACUACCCGCAUAUCAUCAGCAAAAUGCUUUGCAAAUGUUACACUGAUAUGGUGAUAGGGUACUAAGAAUUGUGAGUGAGUUCAAAUAUUGAUUCAGUAUAUUUUAUGUUAUGUGAGGGUUGAAGAUAGGUUUUGCAUUUGUCAUUUUACUGUUUGGAGACCUGUUUGGUAUUGGUCUGUGGGUGCGCGCAUUCGCCCGUCACUUUUGCGGGGGAGUGUGUGAAUUGGUGUGUGUGUGAUGGUGUGUGUGUGUGUGAGAGAGAGAGAGAGAGAGAGUUAAAGUAUAUGUGUGCUUGACCUGUGGUCUGCUAUCUGAUCAGUCCUUCCGGCUGUAAAACUUUGUCUUAUCUCUUUUUUUAUAGAAUUCACAUGAAAGUCCCCAUACCAGAACAUUCUCAGAAAUAAACCAGAGUGAAAACCUUUAACCUUUUACCUCAAAUUCAAAUCAUCAACAAUUGAACCUCAUGAUAGUUAUGGACAUACUGUCACGUCCUGACCAUAGAGAGCCCUUGUUUCUCUAUGGUGGAGUAGGUCAGGGC